rnacentral:rRNA from 1 species
GACGAACGCUGGCGGCGUGCUUAACACAUGCAAGUCGAACGGUGAACCUCUUCGGAGGGGCUCAGUGGCGAACGGGUGAGUAACACGUGGGCAACCUGCCCCCGGCCCUGGGAUAACUCCAAGAAAUCGGGGCUAAUACCGGAUGUUCACCGCUUCCCGCAUGGGUGGUGGUGGAAAGGGUUUCCGGCUGGAGAUGGGCCCGCGGCCCAUCAGCUUGUUGGUGGGGUAGUGGCCUACCAAGGCGACGACGGGUAGCCGGCCUGGGAGGGUGACCGGCCACAGUGGGACUGGGACACGGCCCAGACUCAUACGGGAGGCAGCGGUGGGGAAUAUUGCGCAAUGGGCGGAAGCCUGACGGAGCGACGCCGGGUGGGGGAGGACGGCCUUCGGGUAGUAAACCUAUUUCGGCAGGGACGAAGCGCAAGGGACGGUACCUGCAGAAGAAGCACCGGCCAACUACGU